rnacentral:rRNA from 1 species
UUUGAUCCUGGCUCAGAGCGAACGCUGGCGGCAGGCUUAACACAUGCAAGUCGAGCGGGCCCUUCGGGGUCAGCGGCGGACGGGUGAGUAACGCGUGGGAACGUGCCUUCUGGUUCGGAAUAACCCUGGGAAACUAGGGCUAAUACCGGAUACGCCCUUUUGGGGAAAGGUUUACUGCCGGAAGAUCGGCCCGCGUCUGAUUAGCUAGUUGGUGGGGUAACGGCCUACCAAGGCGACGAUCAGUAGCUGGUCUGAGAGGAUGAUCAGCCACACUGGGACUGAGACACGGCCCAGACUCCUACGGGAGGCAGCAGAAGGG